CAGUAGCCGCGGGAAUACGUAGGUGGCAAGCGUUGUCCGGAAUUAUUGGGCGUAAAGCGUGCGCAGGCGGUUCUAUAAGACAGAUGUGAAAUCCCCGGGCUCAACCUGGGAACUGCAUUUGUGACUGUAGAGCUGGAGUGCGGCAGAGGGGGAUGGAAUUCCGCGUGUAGCAGUGAAAUGCGUAGAUAUGCGGAGGAACACCGAUGGCGAAGGCAAUCCCCUGGGCCUGCACUGACGCUCAUGCACGAAAGCGUGGGGAGCAAACAGGAUUAGAUACCCCGGUAGUCCCUGUCUCUUAUAC
rnacentral:rRNA from 1 species